UUUCCGUAGGUGAACCUGCGGAAGGAUCAUUAAUGAGUUGUCAUGGGGUUCGAUGCUGGCAGCCAAUUUUUGGAUGCAUGUGCUUGCCCUAACAAUCAUCUUCCAAACACCUGUGCACAUUUUUGAGGGAGUCUUGAGUUGGUUGCCGCUCUUGGGUGAUUUUCUCACAUUCCCUUAAAUCAUUAUACGCUAUUAACAAUGUUGAACGUGCACUGUGCCGCAAGGCUAUUAAUAUAAUACAACUUUUAACAACGGAUCUCUUGGCUCUCGCAUCGAUGAGGAACGCAGC
rnacentral:misc_RNA from 1 species